GAAGACUUUGACCCAGACCUCCCAAGAAAUUUCAUCACAAAUUAAAGAAAAAAAGAGAAAUCUCGGUGACUCUGAUCACCUUUCACCGGCCACGAUGGCCGUACUUUUCUCCGUUGCCUGGAAGAUGAUGGCCGGACUAUUCUCCAUUGUCUGGGAGGUGAUCAUGGAGAUAUUAAAGGCUUCUGUUCUCCCGGCGUUCAUUUGGAGAAGAGUUGAUGACGAGCUUGAAGUGCUCUUCAAGUCCUUGCAGUUGAUCCCACUUCGUGGUGAUGAUGCAAAGUAUAUUAACUUAACCGAAGAGGCUGAUACCGAUUCCUGGCUUUCUCUGCUCACUGAUGCAUCCAGAGACUUCGCUGCCGUUCAAGACAUUACUUACAUGGUCAACGAACACUUCGGCAGCCAGAGCGAGGGUGGUCACCCAAGAAGCAAGGUGCGCGACUUCUUUUCUCAGGAUCAUAACCCACUCUUGUUUAAACUUCAGUUGGUGAAGAAGCUCACAAACGUCAAUGAGAGAAUAAAUGGCCUCAGUAAGAAGAUGCAAGAGUUCAUCCCUAGAUUUAAUAAAAAGAAGACUUCAAGCUGCUCCUAUCGGCAUGAAUCACUAGUCAUUUUUGGACGAGACGAAGAGAAAAACACGGUGGUGGAGAUGCUGAUCCGUAAUUGGUCUGAUGAUAGAGUGGUUGUGGUUUCAAUCGUGGGUAAGCGUGGUAUGGGUAAGACUUCAGUUGCUCAGCUGGUUUUGAAAGAUGAAGUAGUCAAGAAUCAAUUUGAACUAUGCAUAUGGGUUUGGGUUUCUGAUGAUUUUGAUGUGCCGAAGCUUGCUGGAAAGAUCAUACAUACUGCUACUAGGGAAAUUUGUGAUCAUACAAACAUGGAGGUGCUGCAGAAGGAUCUGCGAGAUGUCUUGGGGCGGAAGAAAUAUUUGCUGGUAUUAGAUGAUGUAUGUAAUGAAGAUUCCCAAAAGUGGGAUGCUCUUAGAAACAUCUUGCCCGAUGGAGCAGGUGGAAGCAGAAUUCUUGUGACCACACGCAAUGUAAAAUGCUCGCGAGUGAUGGGUGCUCAGGAAUCUUUAAGUCUAAGCCAUUUAUCAAAUGAAAGCUCUUGGCAUUUGUUUGAACAGAAAGCAUUUGUUAUAGGUGCACAGAGGCCACCAGGCUUGGUGGAGUUUGCUAGAGAGCAUAUUGAGAAAUGUGACGGAGUACCAUUUUUAAUAGAAAUAUUGGCGGUUUGUGUUCGUUGCUCUCAAUGUCUGGCCUGGAGUAAACAAUGGAAAUCACGUAGUAAAGGGAUUGAGCUCAGCAGACAAAGGGAACAACUUUCCAUGGGCGUAGAGAGGUUACGCUCAUGUAUGCCUGGAGGAGGCUAUUACAACCUUCUCUCUACCAUCUCAUUUAAACAACUGGCAGAACAAACAAUCCAAUAUCUUCACCAGAUUAUGCAAGCUUUGAAGUGCAUCACCACAAAUCCCUUCUUUCUAUCAGCGAUUUUGAUUUGUGCUAUUGCCUGUUUCAUAAAUUUCCUUUUCAACGACUACAGUAACCAGCAAGAGCUUUGGUAUAUACCCCCAACAUGAAGACAAAAAAUCCGGAGUCCCAAAAAAGCAAAACAAGAGUCUAAGACUCUUGUUUUCUGUUUUUCUCCUUUGUCAAUAGAUUAGCUCUCAUUUGAGGCUUUGAGCUUCUUUCCUAAAAAAAAGGAAAAAAUCCGGAGAGUCUGAAUUCAGAAUGAAAAGGAUUGGUUUAACAUCUCAGUUGUUAAGGGAAGGUAAAUUAGAAUGAAAAGGAUUGGAUCAAGCUCUGUACUAUUGAUUCAUCUUUUUAUUAGUUAAGAACACCUUACCUUUUUUAAUUUUUACGUUUUCCAGUGAACACUCUUUGGGCUUUGAUGUAGGAUAGAUUCAUCCUUGCAAUUGCUGUAUAACGUAAAUUCUUGUGGUGUAUACCCCUGAUGUGGUUCUCAUUCAUAGAACUUCUCUUAAUUGAUAUGAUUGUUCAGACAUUCGGAACCUUUUUAUCAGUCAGUAUACUCUUGUGGGUGGAAUAGUAUUCAUAUAUAUAAGUCAGGAGACUGAGGUAAAAAUUGAAAUCCUUUCAAAUCCUCUGCUUUCGUUCUAGCUGACAUUUCCCAACAUUAGUGAUGCACUAGAUUUGUAAGAGCAAAUUCAAUUGUGGCAAUUGCAAACUGCAUUUCUCCACAUAUCCUUUGUCCAACAACAAAUGGUCAUAACAUUGGAAAUCUAAACAACAGUUCAUAAAUCUCUCUGGUAUGAACUCUCUGUGCAAGCCCCAAGAUAAGGAAUCCCUACCUAUCACUCUUGUUUUGAUGAUUACUCUUGCUUUUAUGGGCAUCACUGUGCUUGAUGGUUUCUCCAGGAAGUAGCAAUGGAGUAGGAGGGAUGUUGUCUUACCACUUUCGCUAUAUACACAAGGCCUCUCACUUCCCCUCACACAAAGUUUAUUGAAGAUUAUUCAGGACUAAGGUCUUUCCCAUAAGUCCUCCAACCUCUUCUUCCUGCUCUCAACAAAAUGAGAUACCUGGAUCUGGAGAGGCUGUGAUGCCUGGAGGAGAUUAUUACCCCACUCUCUCUACCAUCUCAUGUGUGGAAAGAUACACCUUUGCAAUCAACGUACAGAAACUCUUGUGGCGUGCACAGGCAAUAAUUCUCAGUGAAAGGACUUCCGUAUGUUUAUGAGCGAGUUCAAUAUGUGGAACUUCAUUUUCUUCCAUUCCUGAUUAUUUUCUUUUUUUUUUUUAUUUGAUCACAUUAUUGUUCUAUCCUUGUGAUGGAGAUGUCUGUUGUAUAGCUGACAUGGAAAAUGGUUUUGGACUUGCAACCCCUUCAUAUUGCAUCUUCUGAAGCUCAA